UACGGAGAGUUUGAUCCUGGCUCAGGACGAACGCUGGCGGCGUGCUUAACACAUGCAAGUCGAACGGUGAUCUCGGUGCUUGCACCGGGUGAUCAGUGGCGAACGGGUGAGUAACACGUGAGCAACCUGCCCCUGACUCUGGGAUAACCCCGAGAAAUCGGAGCUAAUACCGGAUACGAGACGCACGGGCAUCCGUAGCGUCUGGAAAGAAUUUUGGUCAGGGAUGGGCUCGCGGCCUAUCAGCUUGUUGGUGGGGUAACGGCCCACCAAGGCGACGACGGGUAGCCGGCCUGAGAGGGCGACCGGCCACACUGGGACUGAGACACGGCCCAGACUCCUACGGGAGGCAGCAGUG
rnacentral:rRNA from 1 species